GCGAUGAAGCGGGAGGUUGCGGCGAAUACGCCGGUUUUUCCGCAGAGUAUGUCCGAUUUUAAACCGGGCGACA
rnacentral:ncRNA from 1 species